AAUCAACCCUGAGGUUUUUACCUAUUAUGAUCCAGCUACGUGGGCAGAAGACAGAUCCUGGGGCUAUUGGACCCCAAUAUUCAUGCUUAAUAGAAUAAUUAGGUUGCAAGCUGUAGUAGAAAUAGUUGUGAAUAAAACCGGAGAUGCACUCGGAUUAAUUGCAAAAUAAAAUACCAAGAUAAGAACUGCUUUGUA